AGUGGUGGAACAGAGAUGUGACACCACUUAUAUAAUUGGCCCCUGCGCAGGGACUGGAGGGCGACACAUGCUUCAUGUAAACAUGAUGAAGCCCUACCAGGAACGUUCAGAAGAGUUGACGGCUAUUUGUGCACCCAACUCUGAUGAGUUUGACAGCCUCCCCCUCCCAGAUCUACUGGGAGACGGUCAGCUGUCUGGAGAUUUAGGGGAAGUUGUGCUGGGAGACCGGCUGAGCCCACAGGAACGUACCGAGGUACAACAGCUGCUAAGAGAGAAGCAGGAGACUUUCUCUAAUGUGCCUGGGUACACUCCUCUAGCCACUCACCGGGUGGAAACCCCAGGCCAACUCCCCAUGCGCCAAAUCC